rnacentral:misc_RNA from 1 species
AAGUCGAAAAAAAACACACUAAAAUUCACUUUUAGAAAAAAUGUGUUGGCAAUCAAGAAGCAAGAAAUAAAGAAAAACUCAUGCACAGCAAAGUAUACAUCCUUUUGUUUGACUGAGAUGUAUCGACUGUAGCAACAGGGUAGACGUAAUCAUCGGCCUCAACCAAUGCGGGAAGCGAAAGAGUCGCCAAAAAAAAAAAAUAAUAAUAAAA